UACGGGGGGUGCGAGCGUUGUCCGGAAUCACUGGGCGUAAAGAGCUCGUAGGCGGCUUGUCGCGUCGUCCGUGAAAACCUGCGGCUCAACUGCAGGCUGGCGGUCGAUACGGGCAGGCUGGAGUUCGGUAGGGGAGACUGGAAUUCCUGGUGUAGCGGUGAAAUGCGCAGAUAUCAGGAGGAACACCGGUGGCGAAGGCGGGUCUCUGGGCCGAUACUGACGCUGAGGAGCGAAAGCGUGGGGAGCGAACAGG
rnacentral:rRNA from 1 species